rnacentral:rRNA from 1 species
UACGAAGGGGGCUAGCGUUGUUCGGAAUUACUGGGCGUAAAGCGCGCGCAGGCGGUCUUCCAAGUCAGUGGUGAAAGCCCGGAGCUCAACUCCGGAACUGCCAUUGAAACUGUGAGACUUGAGGAUGAGAGAGGUGAGUGGAAUUCCCAGUGUAGAGGUGAAAUUCGUAGAUAUUCGCAAGAACACCAGUGGCGAAGGCGGCUCACUGGCCCGAUACUGACGCUGAGGCACGAAAGCGUGGGGAGCAAACAGG